UUCCGGUUGAUCCUGCCGGACCUGACUGCUAUCGGAUUGAUACUAAGCCAUGCGAGUCAUUGUAGCAAUACAAGGCAGACGGCUCAGUAACGCGUAGUCAACCUAACCUAUGGACGGGAAUAACCUCAGGAAACUGAGAAUAAUGCCCGAUAGAACACUAUACCUGGAAUGGUUUGUGUUCCAAAUGAUUUAUCGCCGUAGGAUGGGACUGCGGCCUAUCAGUUUGUUGGUGAGGUAAUGGCCCACCAAGACUAUUACAGGUACGGGCUCUGAGAGGAGUAGCCCGGAGAUGGGUACUGAGACACGGACCCAGGCCCUAUGGGGCGCAGCAGGCGAGAAAACCUUGCAAUGUGCGAAAGCACGACAAGGUUAAUCCGAGUGAUUUGUGCUAAACGAAUCUUUUGUUAGUCCUAGAACCACUAACGAAUAAGGGGUGGGCAAGUUCUGGUGUCAGCCGCCGCGGUAAAACCAGCACCUCAAGUGGUCAGGAUGAUUAUUGGGCCUAAAGCAUCCGUAGCCGGCUCUGUAAGUUUUCGGUUAAAUCUGUACGCUUAACGUACAGGCUGCCGGGAAUACUGCAGAGCUAGGGAGUGGGAGAGGUAGACGGUACUCGGUAGGAAGGGGUAAAAUCCUUUGAUCUAUUGAUGACCACCUGUGGCGAAGGCGGUCUACCAGAACACGUCCGACGGUGAGGGAUGAAAGCUGGGGGAGCAAACCGGAUUAGAUACCCGGGUAGUCCCAGCUGUAAACUAUGCAAACUCAGUGAUGCAUUGACUUGUGGUCAAUGCAGUGCUGCAGGGAAGCCGUUAAGUUUGCCGCCUGGGAAGUACGUACGCAAGUAUGAAACUUAAAGGAAUUGGCGGGGGAGCACCACAAGGGGUGAAGCCUGCGGUUCAAUUGGAGUCAACGCCGGG
rnacentral:rRNA from 1 species